UGGCUUCGGCUAUCACUUUUGGAUGGUCCCGCGGCGUAUUAGCUAGAUGGUGGGGUAACGGCUCACCAUGGCAAUGAUACGUAGCCGACCUGAGAGGGUAAUCGGCCACAUUGGGACUGAGACACGGCCCAAACUCCUACGGGAGGCAGCAGUAGGGAAUCUUCCACAAUGGACGAAAGUCUGAUGGAGCAACGCCGCGUGAGUGAAGAAGGGUUUCGGCUCGUAAAACUCUGUUGUUAAAGAAGAACAUAUCUGAGAGUAACUGUUCAGGUAUUGACGGUAUUUAACCAGAAAGCCACGGCUAACUACGUGCCAGCAGCCGCGGUAAUACGUAGGUGGCAAGCGUUGUCCGGAUUUAUUGGGCGUAAAGCGAGCGCAGGCGGUUUUUUAAGUCUGAUGUGAAAGCCUUCGGCUCAACCGAAGAAGUGCAUCGGAAACUGGGAAACUUGAGUGCAGAAGAGGACAGUGGAACUCCAUGUGUAGCGGUGAAAUGCGUAGAUAUAUGGAAGAACACCAGUGGCGAAGGCGGCUGUCUGGUCUGUAACUGACGCUGAGGCUCGAAAGUAUGGGUAGCAAACAGGAUUAGAUACCCUGGUAGUCCAUACCGUAAACGAUGAAUGCUAAGUGUUGGAGGGUUUCCGCCCUUCAGUGCUGCAGCUAACGCAUUAAGCAUUCCGCCUGGGGAGUACGGCCGCAAGGCUGAAACUCAAAGGAAUUGACGGGGGCCCGCACAAGCGGUGGAGCAUGUGGUUUAAUUCGAAGCUACGCGAAGAACCUUACCAGGUCUUGACAUACUAUGCAAAUCUAAGAGAUUAGACGUUCCCUUCGGGGACAUGGAUACAGGUGGGGCAUGGUUGUCGUCAGCUCGUGUCGUGAGAUGUUGGGUUAAGUCCCGCAACGAGCGCAACCCUUAUUAUCAGUUGCCAGCAUUAAGUUGGGCACUCUGGUGAGACUGCCGGUGACAAACCGGAGGAAGGUGGGGAUGACGUCAAAUCAUCAUGCCCCUUAUGACCUGGGCUACACACGUGCUACAAUGGAUGGUACAACGAGUUGCGAACUCGCGAGAGUAAGCUAAUCUCUUAAAGCCAUUCUCAGUUCGGAUUGUAGGCUGCAACUCGCCUACAUGAAGUCGGAAUCGCUAGUAAUCGCGGAUCAUCAUGCCGCGGUGAAUACUUUCCCGGGCCUUGUACACACCGCCCGUCACACCAUGA
rnacentral:rRNA from 2 species